GCAAGGAGGAGGAGGCGGCCCGGGAUGCUGCCAGGUUGGUCACCAACUCCUCUACAACUGGAUGGACUUUUGGCAGAUCAAAUGUGGUUUUCUGCAGGAUUACAAAUCAGCUGUCACUAUAAUGCAUUGAGAAAGCCAAUCUCACCAUGAGUGUCUGGACGAGUGCCUCAUGAUUCUUGGGUGCCACCGUAGAGGUGAGCCAAACAGGGGGUGAUGCACGGUGUUUCCUCAGCAAUACCAGUCGUAUCCACAGCUGGCUUGGUGACAGCUCCUCCACAGGGCCCUUCAGCUCGGCCUGAAGACUCUCCCACACCACUGCAUGCAUGCUGUCUCCAUCACACUGCACAACAUGGGGGAAGGAAGGAAGGAAGAAAGGAUAAGAUGGAUAAAUGAAAAGUAAAAAUUGCUCUACAGGAGUUUUCACUCAGGAGAGAAAGCUUGUAUGAGAGGUUGACAAGGAACUGUGAGGCGGUGAUGUCCAGGUAGCUCUUCUUGGCCCGCAUGGCACACAGUGUGUUCACCACCCGCUGCAGCACCUCAGGACCCACAGCACGACCUGACCGCACUACUGCACCGCACAGCAGCAACUCAGCUAAAAGUUGGUCCCGAAUUUCCUGCAGCAUGACUCUCAGAGGGAGAGGACAAACUGAGGUGUGAAGAAAGAUGGAUGAAGGCGGAGGAGGUAGCAGAGGGUGGAGAAGUAGCCUUCCCUUGCCUUCAGGCGGGUGGAGGCAAGGCCAGACACCAGCCUGUUCACGAUGUACUUCAC